GGCUCCAGAUCUCACCACUGGGAGUCCUAGACUGCUUUAGGGAUUGAACCCAGACCCAGGCACCAUUGUUCCUUGUGAUGGCCAGCAGACCUUGCCCUCUCCCUGCAACAAUUUCCACCCAGGGCAGAGAGGCUACCAAAGAACGCUCUUUCCCUCCUGACGACAUACUGUAAAAUUUAAGUUUGGCCCUGAUGUGGCCAUGGCUGCUGCCCAGAAGGAAGUCAGCUGAGACCAGUCUCACUGUACAGAGGUGGGAAGACCUGUGAGAUAGGCAUAGAACCGGGCCUGGAGCUCUGUGGACACCACUCAGUUCUGGAUAUUUCUGUGCCUGAAGCUACUAUGGACUGCUUAAUGAUUUGGCCCAAUAAAUUGCCUUUUUUACUAAA